rnacentral:lncRNA from 1 species
GCAGCUAAAGAAAGGUUUCUCUUUUUAGUUUCUUUCACAAGGUGUUGGCCAAAACACUGUAGUCAAGUGAUUCUUCUUCAUGAGCUCUUGCAUUGCACUUUUCAUGAGCAUGUUAUUGUGCUCAUAAACUACUGAACCGAAGGGGAGGAGCAUGCUCAUUGCUCCUUUCACUGCAAUAGUCAGACAAAUUCACAAACUUGUCAUAUAUACAAACCAUGCCCCACUAGAGUCAAAUCAUGC